UACGUAGGGUGCGAGCGUUGUCCGGAAUUAUUGGGCGUAAAGGGCUCGUAGGCGGCUUGUCGCGUCGGGAGUGAAAUCCACUGGCUUAACUGGUGGCUUGCUUUCGAUACGGGCAGACUAGAGGUAUGCAGGGGAGAACGGAAUUCCUGGUGUAGCGGUGAAAUGCGCAGAUACUGGGAGGAACACCAGUGGCGAAGGCGGCUACCUGGACCGGAUCUGACGCUGAGGCGCGAAAGCGUGGGUAGCAAACAGG
rnacentral:rRNA from 1 species